AGUAUCAAGCCACACAUCUAAAUCUACAUGUCUCUGAUUUUCAAGAACUUUUAAGUCUGACAAUAUUUGUAGGAAAGAAUUUGGUCUGAUCCAUGGCGCUAAGGAUCUGAAGUGUGAAGUAAGACCUGCCACAAAUCCUGUGCCAGCGGUUUCCACUCUCCUGCUACUGAGUGCUCACCCCACAUUGCUGACCACCUGCUUCCUGCUGCGGUGGACUGAAGCGGCCCCUGCUCCUCACCGAGAAAGCUGCUGGAAGCUAAUAAUGGAAGGAAAUGAACCAUGCUCCAUGGGAAACAAACAAGCACCCCUUGACCCAACAAGUGUUGGGAUCACAAGCGGGAUCCAUCACGGCAGUCUACAACCUGUCACCAUCAUCAGCUUUCUCAUCAUUAAGCACAACUCCUCCAUGUCUCUCAAAUGUAGGGGACAUGUUUCAAGCUCUCCAGCCACCCCAUGGAAGCCUCUCACUGGGCUCAUGAUGAAUGGGGUAACACCCAUCCCUACCCCUCACACCCUCUGGCAGGAGAUACUCAUGGCACUGCACUAGCUCUUCCCAAAGAAAACUUUUUUCAAAUACUCCCUUCUUCUCUGUUCUCCAUUUUUGCUUUAUUUGAAGCCAAUGAGAGGAGUUAAAAAUCAGCAACCACUUUACAAAAUAUCUCUUUGUAAAUUUUUCAAGUGGGGAUCUACCUGACAUUCACUUUGGCAUCUAAUUUCUCUUGUGUUCACACCCAGGUCAAAACUAUGGUAGGAAGAGACCUCUUUUAACAUCUGUAUCCUGCUGUUGAGAUUUUGAAGGACUCACUCCCCUCUAGUAUCUAGGCUACUUUCUAAUAUUAUCUCUCUUUACAAAUUAGAAAAUGAAGGCUCAGAGAGGUUAAGAAACUGUUCAACAUUCAUUAGAUUGAAGAGCUAUAAUUUGAUACCCAAGACUUCUGGAUUCUAAUCUAGGUGCUCUAAACCUCUUAGCUCUGAUGGCCCCUGGGCACCAAGUACUGCCUUUUGACUUGGAGAAAAGCUCAGUAGCAUAAACUUUCCCCACUAUUCUCAGGGCGAGCUGCGUCCCACAUGCCCAUCAGGCACUGACUGCCUGCUUUUCUCUUUGCUAGCAGGUAUCAACCAUAGUGUCCUAUGGCUGACUCAAUCCAAAAGUCUUCAAUACUUUGCUACUAAAAGGGUGGUCCAAAGGCCAGCAGGAGCACCUGAGAACUUCUUAGGAAUGUGUUAUGUCAGUGCCUCCCCACCAAUAUGCCCUAAGGGAAACAGCAUUUCAGUAAGGACAUGAAGAUUAAAGAAGCACCGCUCUACACCAUUGCUCCUAGGAGGCCUAAAGAAUCUUCUUGCACAUCUAUCCCCUGGUGUCUUCCCAGGUGUCCUUGAAAGGAGCUGCAGAUUAGUUAUUCCUUGGAAUCCUCGCCACAUCUAUUACUUUGUCAUUCAGAAUAUCAUAAUAUUAUAAUACACCACUUUGUUAAUCUAACUUUUUGUUUAUACCCUUACAUAGCCUGUCAUCUUGAAAUAAUAUCCUCUGCUCUUUAUCCUGAAGACUACAAACCUAAUCUCUAAAUUAAAAAUAAAUUUCCAACUAGCUGAUUCGUAAUGUACCGCAGCAGAGUAGAGAACCAUUAAGAAAAAAGUCUGACCUAGCUAAGGCUAGAAAAUAAGUGGUUCACCCUUUAUCACUGCCUGCCCCCACCUUGCAUACUCACACCAGUGCAUGCCCACACACACUUCCUGAAACCACACACUCAUUUAUUAUAUGAGUCAAUAAGUAUUUGGUAAGCAGCUACUGAAUGCCAGACCCUGUGAUGGGAGUGAUAAAUUCAGUGAUGAAUCCCACAUAGAUUCUAUAGGAAGUUAAUAUCCUACUUGGGAGACAAGACACAUGUGCAAAGGUUGAUCAUUUAAGGUAGACUAUGAGACCUGCUGUAUACAUCCUCUUACAAUAGACCAUGCUUUGAUAACACAACCACAAGUUCUCAGUGACUUUCAACAAUUCUUCUGCAGUAAUAGUCCAUCAUGGGUGAGUUCCCCGUUGCCAUCAUUUCUGGACUCAGAGAGAAGAAACAGCCCUUUCUGAGACACUUCGUCCUCAAGGCAGCAGCACCGCAUGGAGCGGCACAGAAAGCUCUUGCACACAAGUGACCCACAUCACUUCUUCUCACAUUCCAUUUCACAGCCACAGGAGGUCACUGGCCAUGUCUGAUAUCAGUGGGGCACCAGAGAGGGGCUACCAGGAUUGGCACGUGGGGAGAGCAGCAAAUAUUUGGAAAUAUAAUGCAAUCCAUCACACCUCAUGACAGAGGUAUAGGUGAAGUGCUUUGGGGAUUUGGAAACGUGAAGAAUACCUCUAGCUGAAAAAAAGGAGACUUUCUGAAGGAGGUGAUGCCAACCUGGGCUUUGGAAAUGUUGGCAGUGGCAGUGGGGAUGAGAAGUGUGGAAGAAGGAGGACUGGGAAAGCCUGCAGCCGUGGAAGCAAUGUCCUGGGAAAUAUUCUGCAGUGGAGCAGAGGAUGGAAGAGGAAACUCACAGAAAUAAAGUUGAAAUAUAAUUAUGGAGGGCCUGAAGUUCUACCUAAAAUGUCAAAACUUCACUGUAGAAGCAAUGAGUGAGGAGCUAGGGCCGACAGUGACACGACAAGUGACAUGGAGAGAGUCAUGCUACAGAUAGAUUCAUUAGGUCUGAAAACAGUGCUUGCAAAAUAGCACUUGAGUUUAAGACCCCUAGUUUCUCUCUCUCUCUCUCUCUCUCUCUCUGUGUGUGUGUGUGUGGUGUGUGUGUCUGUCUCUGUCUCUCUCUCUCUCUCCUGAUCAUUUUCUAAGACCAGCCCAAAUAUCUCCUCAUUUGUCUUUGAAGACUGAUCUAGCCCUGUCAUGAAAAAUUAACUGAUUAAUUGAUCAUUUUUCUUCAUAUCCACAGUCCUUUUACAUAUUAUCCUAAAUUUGUGUGUGUUUGUCUGUGUGUGUGUGUGCAUAUGAAUGUUUGUCCUUUAAAGAAAAAAGAGUUUUCAAACAUCAAAGUCUUGCUUUCUACAAUUUUGAAUUUUCCAUUACAGCUCAGAGCUACACACAGCUUUGUUUGUUGAAAAAACAGUUUGGAUGAAGAAAGACAGAGACUCCAUUUGAAGAUUAUUGCAACAGUCUAUCAAUAGAGUGACAUUUGGAAUGGAAAAGCCCAACAAAAUAUACUGAUUAAUAUUUCUAUAUUUAUGUAUGAAUACCUCUUUUACUUUCAGUAAAUUCUGAAGAG
rnacentral:lncRNA from 10 species